rnacentral:rRNA from 1 species
GUGAGGAAUUUUCUGCAAUGGGCGAAAGCCUGACAGAGCAAUACCGCGUGAGGGAAUAAGAAGGCCUAUGGGUUGUAAACCUCUUUUCUCAAAGAAGAAGAUCUGACGUUAUUUGAGGAAUAAGCAUCGGCUAACCCUGUGCCAGCAGCCGCGGUAAGACAGGGGAUGCAAGUGUUAUCCGGAAUUAUUGGGCGUAAAGCGUCUGUAGGUUGAAUUCAAAGUCUUUUGUAAAAUCUUUAAGCUUAACUUAAAAACCGCAAAAGAUACUAGUUUUCUUGAGUAUGGUAGAGGUAAAGGGAAUUUCCAGUGGAGCGGUGAAAUGCGUAGAUAUUGGAAGGAACACCAAAAGCGAAGGCACUUUACUGGGCCAUUACUGACACUGAGAGACGAAAGCUAAGGGAGCAAACGGGAUUAGAAACCCGAGUAGUCC